rnacentral:misc_RNA from 1 species
UGAAGGAUCUGUCAGUACUAGUUAUUGAUCAGGGGACAAUAGUUGAUCGGAUAGACCACAAUGUUCAAAGUGUAUCUGCAUCAGUAGAGGAAGGUUUCAAACAACUACAGAAGGCAGAGAGGUCUCAGAGGAAGGGGGGAAUGGUAAAAUGUGCGACUAUUCUUGUUAUCAUGUGCUUCGUUAUGCUAGUCCUAUUGGUCCUUAAGCAGAUUCUUUUAUAAACUUUCCUUCUACUUUCCUUCCUUUUUCUUGGGUAUAACUAGGACUGUAGUUCUUUCGAUGCCAAAAUUGUAAUGUGCUAUACCUAUUGUGGAAUUUUAUGGAGGAAGCCCAUUAGCUCACUG